rnacentral:rRNA from 1 species
UAAGAGAAGUUUUUUAAUAAACGAAGUGAAUUGAAAUAUCUUAGUAACUUCAGGAAAAGAAAUCAAAAGAGAUUCUAUAAGUAGCGUGAGUGAAAGUAGAGGAGCCUAUUUAAUAAUAAGUAAAAUGGUUUAGAAACUGUUUGAAUUUAUUGUCUGAUCCCUGUAAGGGAAAGGGCCCGGGGAACCUUCCUCAAAGGCUAAAUAUAAUACAUAAGCGAUAGUGAAUAGUAUCGUGAGAUAAUGAUUAGAAUUAGUAGUUUUAUAAGCAGUUCGAGCCAAAGUGAGAACGUACCUUUUGCAUAAUGGGUCACCAAGUUAACAUUAGAUGCGAGUGAAAGCGUAGGUAAACCAAUCGUUAAAAUAACGAAGAGUGUCUAAAGUUAGACCCGAAGCCUGGUGAUUUUACCAUAAUCAGGAUUAUAAAAGUCCGAACGGGUUAUCGUUGUAAAGAUAUCCGAAGAAUUAUGGUAGGUAGUGAAAGACAACACUGACUAGGAUAGCUGGUUUUCUGCGAAACCUAUAACAGUAGGCAAUUUGAGUAACAUCUUAGCAGGUACAGAAUUUAAUCUCAGACAAGAUGUUCUAAUUUUAGUUCGGCGACGAACUAAAACAACAUGUUGAUUUGUAUAUAUCGGGGGAUCGUGAAGAUUUUAUCGGUGAGUAUGUAGACUCGGAAUGGCAAAGAUGGAUCUUGAAUUAUCAGACAUAGAAUGAUAAGGUUGUAUGUCAAAAGGGAAACAGCCCAGAACAAGAGUUAAGGUUCCAAAAUUAUUAGUUAAGUGAAAUUAAGAAGGUUAUUAUUAAAGUCGACAAGGAGAUGGGCUUAGAAGCAGCCAAAUUUUGAAGACCUCGUAACAGAGCGCUUGUUAAGUUUUAAAAGCAUCGAAAAUUUAACGGAUCUAAACAAUAUACCGACACCUUGUCCAUAUUUUACUAUAUAUAUAUAUUAUUGUAAUUUAGUGGGGUAGCAGAACGUUGAAUUAAAUUAGGAUAUUUCUUCUGUGAAGAAAUAUAUAACAAACAAUUCAAGUGAGAAUGGUGACAUGAGUAACGAAUAAGAAGGACAUUUUACCGAAAAAGCCUAGUAAAAUCUCUACGUAUCAUAACUAUGGUAAAUAGGGAUUCCCUCCCUCUGGGAGGGGUCGCCUCUUUAAAGAGUAGUAAUCUUCUUUAUGAUGAUUACUUCGAGUUACUAGGUAUUUUAGUAAGUACUAAAUCCUCCGCCUAAAGCUUAUGGAUGGAAAAAUAUGCCCCUUAAAGUAACGGCCUCUAAGUUAUAAAUCUAAAGGUUUAAACGAUGAGAAAAUCUUUUUUACUAAAUGACAACACUUACAAGUGAUAAGUGUGCUGGAAAAAAUAGUAAUAUAUUUUGUUAAGUAUAUACAAUAAACUAAAGAGAUGAGUAUAGAAAGAGAAGAUGAAAAAAUAACCGUACCUAGAAACUAAAACAAGUAAGCUAGUAGAGAAUACGAAGGCGUAAAUGAGCUAACAAUCAUAAAGGAACUCGGCAAACUAACUACCGUAACUUCGGGAUAAGGAGAGCUCAUUAGUCCUGAUUAAUAUCGGGUAAAAAGGAAGAAGCAUAAAAUAGUGUUGUACGACUGUUUAAUUAAAACACAGCACUUUGCUAAAAGAUUAAAAAUCGAAGUAUUGAGUGUGAUGUCUGCCCGAUGCCGGCUGGUUAACGAAUAUAACUAAAUUGAUCAAUAAAUUUGGUGUUGAAGGAACCCCCGGUUAAUGGCGGCCUUAACGUGAGGGUCCUAAGGUAGCGAAAUGCCUUGGCCGUUAAAUGCGGUCUUGCAUGAAUGAUGUAACGAUACAACAGCUGUCUCUAUGAUUGACUCAGUGAAAUUGGAAUAACUGUGCAGAUACAGUUUACCUCUAGUUAGACGAGAAGACCCUAUGCAGCUUUACUGUUACUAAUUAUAGGGUAUGAUGAAUUAAUUUUCAGAUUAUAAGGUACAUUGAUUCAAUAAAAAUGAAAAUCCUUUAUUUUCACGUCAUACUUCAGAAUUAAUUUUGGAAAUUCACCUGGCUGGAAUGGCGACUUCGUCAUUUAGGCGGGAGUGAAAGAAAAGAUUAACCUAGUCUGACAUAUAAGUAGCCUUAGGUAAGGAAUAUAUUGUUAGGAGACAGUUUAUGUGGGGCACAGACCCCUUAAAGAGUAAAAGGGAGUGUCUAAAAUUUAUUUGUUAUAAAAUUUAUAACGUUGUUUGUGGUUUUAUGUAGUUUUACUAUAUUUAAUCUUAUGAAAUUCACUUUAUCUACCCUUGUUGUAGAUACGGAUGGAUCUAAGGUACGAUUUUCACUAUGGUGAAAGUAGCGGUAUAGAAAAAAAUAUUAUGAAUAGCGACGUCGUCGCUAUUCUAAUGUUUUUGGAGUUAUUAGGUGACUGGUCGGGAACCCCCCCCGCUCUUAAUAAUAAUGAUAAAUACUUGAAAAGCUCAACGGCUAAUUCGUGCCAUACUGUUUGAUUAACAACAAAUCUUACAGUUGCGUAAGCAGGGCAUAGGAUCACAAGAUGCAAAAAGGAAAGAUCUUGGAUUAUUGGAAAAGCUACGCUAGGGAUAACAGGCUAAUUUGCGCAAGAGUGUACAAAAUGAGUGCGCGGUUUGGCACCUCGAUGUCGGCUUAACUUAUCCUCAUGGAUGCAGAAACUAUGUAGGGUACGACUGUUCGUCGAUUAAAAAGUUACAUGAGCUGGGUUAAAUACGUCGUGAGACAGUAUGGUUUCUAUCUUCUAGAGGGAAUUUGAAUAAAAUAAGGAUUAACCUUUGUACGAAAGGAACAGGAAAAACUUAACCCAAAAGGUUAGGUUAUAUUAAUUGUUAACCUCUGGUUUACCUGUUGUUUAUAAGCCCAAUAUUAAUUUAUUCUAAAAAUUUAUGAUUUUUAUAAGGGAUGUUACUUACACUAAAGUAAAUAUAUAUUAUAGGCACGGCAGGAAAGCUAAGUUAGUUAAAGAUAAGUGCUGAAAGCAUAUAGGCACGAAGCUUACCUUAAGAUAUUUCUAAUUCACGUAAUAUACUAUUACGGCAUAAUAUUAAUAUUAUUGCAAUAGGCUUUGUUUGUAAUGAUCUAGAGAUCUUAAGA